rnacentral:rRNA from 1 species
CUGGUGCUCGAGUUGUAAUUUGUAGAGUGGAUCCUUGGGGCCGUUCCUUGCCUAUGUUCCUUGGAACAGGACGUCAUGGAGGGUGAGAACCCCGUGUGGCGAGGGGCGCGGCUCCGUGUAAGGGCUGCUCGAAGAGUCGAGUUGUUUGGGAAUGCAGCUCUAAGUGGGUGGUAAAUUCCAUCUAAAGCUAAAUACAGGCGAGAGACCGAUAGCGAACAAGUACAGUGAUGGAAAGAUGAAAAGAACUUUGAAAAGAGAGUGAAAAAGUACGUGAAAUUGUUGAAAGGGAAGGGCAUUUGAUCAGACAUGGUGUUUUGCGCCCCCUGCUCCUUGUGGGCGGGGGACCCUCGCAGCUCACUGGGCCAGCAUCAGUUUUGGCGGCUGGAUAAAACCGGAGGAAUGUGGCUUCUCUCGGGAAGUGUUAUAGCCUGCGGGAAUGCGGCCAGCCGGGACUGAGGAACGCGACUUUUGUCAAGGAUGCUGGCAUA